UUAAAGGCUACUGGCUGUAGGAAUUCCUACAGCAAUUGAAUUUAUUUUUCUUUUCUCUUUUUACUCUACAGGGUCUUUCCACAUACAUUAUGGCUUUCGGCUUAGUGUUCUUGUGGGAUUCCUGGGUGUGUCAGCAAGCGGAGCUCUGUUUGGGUCACACCUUGAGUUCCUGUCAUGGCUUCCCUUGAUGAUUGUCUCUCAGUGGGCUGGGGGCUCACAAAGGAGGCUGGAAUCAGUGGGCGGCAAAUUCCAGGAACCCACCUGUCUUAGUUUCCCAUUUGUAGCUGUGGCAAUACACUCCAGCAGAAGGUCACCUCGGCGAGAAAGGGCUUGCUUCAACUCACUAUUACAAGCUACAGUUCAUCAUGGCUGAGAAGUCAAGGCGGCAGGGAUUUGAAGCAAUUUGGCACAUGUGCAAUCAGAGUCAAAAGAGGAUGGAUACGCACACGCCUGCAAUCAGCUCAAUUUCUCUACACUCAUACUGCUCAGGAGCCCAACCCAGGAAACGGUGCUGCCCCCUUUCAGUCUGUGUCUUCCCACAUCAGUUAAUGCAAUCAAGAAAGAUAGUUCUCCACAGAUGUGCCCAGGGGCCAACCUGAUCUAAAUAACCCUUAUUGCAACUCUCCCAAGAUUCCAGAUAGCAUCACGAUGGCAAUUAAAACCAGAAACCAGA